rnacentral:rRNA from 1 species
GGGGAAUAUUGGGCAAUGGGCGAAAGCCUGACCCAGCAACGCCGCGUGAAGGAAGAAGGCCCUCGGGUUGUAAACUUCUUUUAUCAGGGACGAAACAAAUGACGGUACCUGAUGAAUAAGCCACGGCUAACUACGUGCCAGCAGCCGCGGUAAUACGUAGGUGGCAAGCGUUAUCCGGAUUUACUGGGUGUAAAGGGCGUGUAGGCGGGACUGCAAGUCAGAUGUGAAAACUAUGGGCUCAACCCAUAGCCUGCAUUUGAAACUGUGGUUCUUGAGUGAUGGAGAGGCAGGCGGAAUUCCGUGUGUAGCGGUGAAAUGCGUAGAUAUACGGAGGAACACCAGUGGCGAAGGCGGCCUGCUGGACAUUAACUGACGCUGAGGCGCGAAAGCGUGGGGAGCAAACA